rnacentral:rRNA from 2 species
AAAACUUUCAACAACGGAUCUCUUGGUUCUCGCAUCGAUGAAGAGCGCAGCGAAAUGCGAUACCUAGUGUGAAUUGCAGCCAUCGUGAAUCAUCGAGUUCUUGAACGCACAUUGCGCCCCUCGGCAUUCCGGGGGGCAUGCCUGUUUGAGCGUCGUUU